GAUGUGAGACUCCCAAAACAACCAGGAUGUUGGCUUAGAAGCAGCCAUCAUUUAAAGAAAGCGUAACAGCUCACUGGUCAAGCGAACCUGCGCGGAAAAUGUAACGGGGCUCAAGCCAGACGCCGAAGGUAUGGGUGUGCAGCAAUGUACGCGGUAGCGGAGCGUUCCGUAAGCCUGUGAAGGUCAGCCGUGAGGCUGGCUGGAGGUAUCGGAAGUGAGAAUGCUGACAUGAGUAGCGAUAAAGAGUGUGAGAGACACUCUCGCCGAAAGUCCAAGGGUUCCUGCGUAAAGUUAAUCUGCGCAGGGUUAGCCGGCCCCUAAGGCGAGGCCGAAAGGCGUAGUCGAUGGGAAUCAGGUGAAUAUUCCUGAGCCAGUUGGAAGUGACGAAUUCCGUAUAUUGUCGGGGCUUAUUGGAUUGCUCCCGGCAGUGAAGGGGUUCCUGGAAAUAACUCCAACGGAGACCGUACCCGAAACCGACACAGGUGGACUGGUAGAGCAUACCAAGGCGCUUGAGAGAACUAUGCUGAAGGAACUCGGCAAAUUGCACGCGUAACUUCGGGAUAAGCGUGACUCUGUUUAGGGCAACCUUUGCAGAGUGGCACAGGCCAGGGGGUAGCGACUGUUUAUCAAAAACACAGGGCUCUGCGAAGUCGCAAGACGACGUAUAGGGCCUGACGCCUGCCCGGUGCUGGAAGGUUAAGAGGAGAGGUGCAAGCUUUGAAUCGAAGCCCCAGUAAACGGCGGCCGUAACUAUAACGGUCCUAAGGUAGCGAAAUUCCUUGUCGGGUAAGUUCCGACCUGCACGAAUGGCGUAACGACUUCCCCGCUGUCUCCAACGCAGACUCAGUGAAAUUGAAUUCCCCGUGAAGAUGCGGGGUUCCCGCGGUCAGACGGAAAGACCCCAUGACCCUUUACUACAACUUUGCACUGGUAUUCGUGUUGGCAUGUGUAGGAUAGGUGGUAGGCUUUGAAGCGUGGGCGCCAGCUCGCGUGGAGCCAUCCUUGAAAUACCACCCUUAUCUUCGUGGAUGUCUAACCGCGGUCCGUUAUCCGGAUCCGGGACAGUGUAUGGUGGGUAGUU
rnacentral:rRNA from 1 species